ACAUAACCAGUUCAUAAUAAGAGCUGGUUUUACUGGUUUAAGCAUGCAGAAGUAUGAGAAACUGGAGAAGAUCGGGGAGGGUACAUAUGGUACAGUAUUUAAAGCUAAAAACAGAGAGACCCAUGAGAUUGUGGCUCUGAAGCGAGUCAGACUGGACGAUGAUGAUGAGGGGGUUCCUAGUUCAGCCUUAAGAGAAAUCUGUUUGUUAAAAGAGCUGAAGCAUAAAAACAUUGUGAGGCUACAUGAUGUACUGCACAGUGAUAAGAAGCUGACAUUAGUAUUUGAAUAUUGUGACCAGGAUCUGAAGAAAUAUUUUGAUAGCUGUAAUGGUGACUUGGAUCCUGAGAUUGUAAAGUCUUUUAUGUACCAGUUGUUGAAGGGCCUAGCCUUCUGCCACAGUCGCAACGUUCUUCAUCGCGACCUUAAACCCCAAAAUCUGCUCAUCAACAGAAAUGGUGAACUCAAGUUGGCUGACUUCGGUUUGGCCCGAGCAUUUGGAAUUCCUGUACGAUGCUACUCUGCUGAGGUGGUGACGCUAUGGUACAGGCCACCAGAUGUGCUCUUCGGUGCUAAACUUUAUUCCACCUCUAUCGACAUGUGGUCAGCCGGAUGCAUAUUUGCAGAACUGGCCAAUGCUGGUCGACCACUGUUCCCAGGAAAUGACGUAGACGACCAGUUGAAACGGAUCUUUAGAUAUCCUUUGCAUUAUGCCUUUCAGAGGAACAGUGGCAAACUAUGACCAAACUCCCUGAUUAUAAGCCAUAUCCGAUGUACCCUGCAACCACAUCGCUGGUAAAUGUCGUCCCUAAACUUAGUAGCACAGGACGGGACCUACUACAGAACCUUUUGAAAUGCAAUCCAGUGCAGCGGAUAUCAGCAGAGGAGGCACUACAGCACCCGUACUUUGCUGAUUUUUGCCCACCUUAGAAUCUAAAUCAGUUCUUCUUUCAUCCGAACGAACCCACAGUGGUUUUACCUCAUCGACAUACAUUUUGAUUUAUUCUUUUUGUUAGAUUUUCUUGUAGACACAUCACUGGAAAGCAUUUAUUGCCAUCGUCCUCCAUCAUGGUUGUUUGGGAUUCUUCAUAUUGUUUCCAAAUGUGCUUUAUAGUUUAUAGUUCUUAGUACCAUAAAACCUUGUCAGACUUUUAGGCAGCAGCAUCUAUUAGAAGCAGAUGAGAGUAAGCCAAACAUAGUAAUAUGAGAUGGUUCUUUUUGCACUUCUGCCAAAUACUGUUAGGGCACGAAGUGUAUUGGUGGUGAUUUUUUGUUUUAUAUAAAGAAUGUGUUUUAAGUAUGUUUUAAUCUAUCUUCACGGUUAAUUUAUUUUUAUUAAUUAUUCUUACAUUAUUGUCACACAUUUGACUUUAUUUUUUUAUAGAAUUACGUUGGUAUUAGGGUGUUUUUCGUCUUUCAAUAACGAUGCAUCACAUUGAUCUCACUUAUGUGUCAUGGAGUGACGACUGAAGUUCCUGCCAUCUGUAGUCCAAUAAUGACUCCUUAAAAGGUGGCUUGGCUGCUCUGAAUUCCCCCAGCUAUAAGUCAAUGUGCGGGCAUCCUAACCAAGAUGAAGAUAGUAGUGAAAAUAAAUCACGUAUAGUGAUUGAACGUGGCAAGAAUUUAACAGUACCAAAAAACAAUCAUACCAGUACAGAAUGAUUUCAAACCUGUGAUGAAGCUACGGCAUUGUGCAGAAGUCUUGACACCCCUGUUUUUUUUCCUGUGCGAAUAAGUUCACACAUUCUCUACAUGAAUAAACGAGUGUUGCAGUUUAAGUGCACAUUUUUAACUUGUUGAAUUUAACAAAUUGAGAAAUAGUAAUAGUAGGGAUGUUUGUACCCUGUAGAGAACGUGCACUUGUUUUUCACUUGUUUUUGGCUGUUAAACCAAAUGCUAAAAUAUUUAUCAGGACAUUAAAACAAUUCAGAUGUGUUUUUCAGCUCUGUAGUGCAGUAUUACAAUAAAAUUCUUACGUUUAGUUGUUGUUAUGAUAUUUUUACACUUGUUUUAGCACUUGGUUACAUGUUUUUUUAUGUAAGAAUUUAUCAUAUGAAUAAAAUCCAUUCCAUAAAAUAACUGA